rnacentral:rRNA from 1 species
GACGAACGCUGGCGGCGUGCCUAAUACAUGCAAGUCGAACGCAGUGGGGACGGGUGAGUAACACGUGGGUGACCUCCCAUAAGAGGGGAUAACACUUGGAAACAGGUGCUAAACCGAUACUGAUGGAUGGACCCGCGGUGCAUUAGCUAGUUGGUGAGGUAACGGCUCACCAAGGCCACGAUGCAUAGCGGGCCUGAGAGGGUGAUCGGCCACACUGGGACUGAGACACGGCCCAGACUCCUACGGGAGGCAGCAGUGGGGAAUCUUCCGCAAUGGGCGAAAGUCUGACCCAGCAACGCCGCGUGAGUGAAGAAGGUUUUCGGAUCGUAAAACACUGUUGUUAGGGAAGCGUUAGCUAACCAGAAAGCCACGGCUAACUACGUGCCAGCCGCCGCGGUAAUUC